UGUGACACUUGAGGGCCAAUACGAG
rnacentral:piRNA from 1 species